UACGAAGGACCCAAGCGUUAUCCGGAUUUAUUGGGUUUAAAGGGUGCGUAGGCGGGCUAUUAAGUCAGUGGUGAAAGCCCCAAGCUUAACUUGGGAACUGCCAUUGAUACUGAUGGUCUUGAGUACAUUUGAGGUGGGCGGAAUGUGUCAUGUAGCGGUGAAAUGCUUAGAUAUGACACAGAACACCGAUUGCGAAGGCAGCUCACUAAACUGUAAACUGACGCUGAGGCACGAAAGCGUGGGGAGCAAACAGG
rnacentral:rRNA from 1 species